GCCGGUGUGGCUCAGUGGUACCUAGAGCGUUGCGGUCUUGCACGCGUCGUCCGCAGCCUACAAAAGAAACACCACUGGAAGUAGAGCUACGGACAAUGCACAAUUAUACCCAAAGAUCCCAGGUUCGAAUUCUGGCGUCGGCA